rnacentral:rRNA from 1 species
CCUACGGGGGGCAGCAGUGGGGAAUAUUGGACAAUGGGGGCAACCCUGAUCCAGCCAUGCCGCGUGUGUGAAGAAGGCCCUCGGGUUGUAAAGCACUUUCAGUGAGGAAGAACGCCUGGUGGUUAAUACCCAUCAGGAAAGACAUCACUCACAGAAGAAGCACCGGCUAACUCCGUGCCAGCAGCCGCGGUAAUACGGAGGGUGCGAGCGUUAAUCGAAUUACUGGGCGUAAAGCGCGCGUAGGUGGCUUGAUAAGCCGGUUGUGAAAGCCCCGGGCUCAACCUGGGAACGGCAUCCGGAACUGUCAAGCUAGAGUGCAGGAGAGGAAGGUAGAAUUCCCGGUGUAGCGGUGAAAUGCGUAGAGAUCGGGAGGAAGACCAGUGGCGAAGGCGGCCUUCUGGACUGACACUGACACUGAGGUGCGAAAGCGUGGGUAGCAAACAGGAUUAGAUACCCGAGUAGUC